rnacentral:rRNA from 1 species
AGUGAACGCUGGCGGUAGGCCUAACACAUGCAAGUCGAACGGCAGCACAGUAAGAGCUUGCUCUUACGGGUGGCGAGUGGCGGACGGGUGAGGAAUACAUCGUAAUCUACUUUUUCGUGGGGGAUAACGUAGGUAAACUUACGCUAAUACCGCAUACGACCUACGGGUGAAAGCAUGGGAUCUUCGGACCUUGCGCGAUUGAAUGAGCCGAUGUCGGAUUAGCUAGUUGGCGGGGUAAAGGCCCACCAAGGCGACGAUCCGUAGCUGGUCUGAGAGGAUGGUCAGCCACACUGGAACGGAGACACGGUCCAGACUCCUACGGGAGGCAGCAGUGGGGAAUAUUGGACAAUGGGCGCAAGCCUGACACAGCCAUACCGCGUGGGUGAAGAAGGCCUUCGGGUUGUAAAGACCUUUUGUUGGGAAAGAAAAGCAGCAGGUUAAUACCCCGCUGUUCUGACGGUACCCAAAGAAUAAGCACCGGCUAACUUCGUG